AAGACUAUAGACCUGCGGAGUACCUGCGGAGGGAUCAUUAUCGUAUUGUAACAAUUGGGGGGGCCACCGUGAGCUGUCGCUGACCCUUUGAAAGGGGGGUCGUGCACGCCCCCAUAGUGUCAUCCUCAUACAAUCCAACUCACCUCUGUGCAUCACCGCGUGGGUUCCUUUCUGGGUCGAGUCAGACUGGCUCAGAAAAAAGGGGCUUGCGUUUUCCAUACAAAUACCCUUAUAAAUCCA
rnacentral:misc_RNA from 1 species